AUUGCUGGAACAUUCUCUUGGAGAGCCCUAAGCUACUAUGUAAUAAAUCCAGCCACCCCGAGACCCCAAUACUGGAAGGUCCUACAAGAAAUCACGAGGUCAAAGAGUAUGAACCUUUUCAAGGCUCUGCUACCUGUCAAACUGCCCUCCUGAAAUACUGAAUCAUUUACACUCCCACGAGAAAUGAAUAUUCUAAGAUCUUCCUCCAAGUCACACUAGAAUACA
rnacentral:lncRNA from 10 species